UCUUGCUUCGGCAGCCAUAUGCUAAAAUUGGAACGAUUCAGAGAGGAUGAGCAUGGCCUCUGUGCAAGGUUGACUCCUAAAUUCAUGAAGUGUUCCAUAUUUUU